rnacentral:rRNA from 1 species
UACAGAGGGGGCAAGCGUUAUUCGGAAUCAUUGGGCGUAAAGGGCGCGUAGGUGGUUCUGUAUGUCUACCGUGAAAGCGUACGGCUCAACCGUAUUUUGUCGGUGGAAACUGCAGGACUUGAGGCUGGGAGGGGCUGGUGGAAUUCCCUGUGUAGCGGUGAAAUGCGUAGAGAUGGGGGAGAACACUCGUGGCGAAGGCGGCCAGCUAGACCAGUUCUGACACUGAGGCGCGACAGCGUGGGGAGCAAACAGG